UGUUUUCACAGAUACACAGUGCUUCACUGCCUGUGUGUCCUUUGUUGCCAGCCCAGAUAUCCCCUAGGUCUGAGGCCGGUAACAAUUGGGGGCUGCGUCCGGGAUUAGCACAUCUCGCCUGGGACGGUUGUCAUAGUAACGUGGGAAUCCUGCACCCAGUGUUUCAGGGAAGACUACUUCGCCAAGUGUCAUCCAGAGAACAACUGCCACAGGUGAUGCAUCAGCAUGACUACUUUAAGCCCACGGCGAGUGCUGCUCUUCAAGAUCCAAAAGAAGCUUUCAGAUUUGAGUUUUAGUCAGCUGCAGACUGUUGCAAGUUCGAUAGAUGACGGUCGUAAAACUUACCAUGUAGCAGAUCUAAGUGAACCCGAACUUUAUGACCUAAUUGUCGACUACAUCAGAAGUGAUGAGUUAAAAGCUGCAGAAGAUGAGGGCAUGACUCAACUUCUCCUCCUUUCUGACCUACUUAAUGACGUGCUAUCAGCUGCAGGAACCAGAGCCGCUGAAUCGGGUAAUGUGGCACCUGUCUUGAUGGGAGAUUCACCAACACAGCAACAGGGUCACACUCCAACUGAUGACGAUGGAGAAGUUUGCACACAACCGUUACACAUGGACAGAGACAUUCGCACACAAUCAUUACGCGUGAACACAGAGACUGACAUGCACCCAUCAUUUCAGGGCAGAGACACCUAUGCACUUACCAGAGAAGUCACCUCAUCAACGCCUGGUAUGCCAGACCAAAUUGGUGCUGCUCCUUUGGACAUGCAGGUUAGUGACGACUUGCUCUUGGAAGAAAUAACAAAAUCAACAGCUGAAGAAGAAGGGCGAUUGAAAAGACUGGGUUCAGUAGGUAAAAGCAGAC
ensembl:lncRNA